rnacentral:rRNA from 1 species
AUUGAACGCUGGCGGCAGGCCUAACACAUGCAAGUCGAACGAGUGGCGGACUGGUGAGUAAUGUCUGGGAAACUGCCUGAUGGAGGGGGAUAACGACUGGAAACGGUAGCUAAUACCGCAUACCAUCGGAUGUGCCCAACUGGGAUUAGCUAGUCGGUGGGGUAACGGCUCACCUAGGCGACGAUCCCUAGCAGGUCUGAGAGGAUGACCAGCCACACUGGAACUGAGACACGGUCCAGACUCCUACGGGAGGCAGCAGUAGGGAAUAUUGCACAAUGGGCGAAAGCCUGAUGCAGCAAUGCCGCGUGUGUGAAGAAGGCCUUCGGGUUGUAAAGCACUGUCAGUGGGGAGGCGUUACCCACAGAAGAAGCACCGGCUAACUCCGUGCCAGCAGCCGCGGUAAUUC